ACAUCUGGUUCUGUGAGGUCCAGUCACCGACACAGCUGCAGGUCAUGUUACCGUUCACCUGGACAGGUGAUGUUCAUGCAUGUACCGGGUCAUGCAGGAUACUGAACAGGAGGCCGUUCUGACUCGAUCUCUGCAGCGAGUCUUCACCCGCCAACCCGUUCCUCUGAUGGCAGCGGAGACGACACGCAGAUAAACUGCUUCCUGUUCCCAGUCUGAGCCGAAGGACUUGGCUGUUUGGUCCCAGUUCCUCAGUACCAAUCUGCAGUCCGAGUUCAGUUGUUGUCCGGCUUCUUUUUCCUUCAGUUUCACUCGUCGUCCUGUGUUCAGCAGGGUUUUACCUUUGA